UUAGAAAAUGAGUUUGGAGGAAAAUUGAUGAAAUCCCAUUCAGUGAUCUCCAACAACCUCUGAGAGCAAAGUCUGGACCAAAGUUGAAUCAUCUCACCAAGGGAUUUCAGAGUGACUACCUCUGGUGAGAAGAGAAAGAUGUAGUUUUCUCAUCCAGUUAAGUUUUAAUCCCUGACAUAUCAUCAUCAGAAUUCCAUCAAGAAGGAUACAGUUGUUGACAUAGACAUAUGGAAGAACCAAAAGCCACAUAAAGAUGGAUAAACUGAGGCACAGAGAAAUU
rnacentral:lncRNA from 1 species